GACGAACGCUGGCGGCGUGCCUAAUACAUGCAAGUAGAACGCUGAAGGAGGAGCUUGCUUCUCUGGAUGAGUUGCGAACGGGUGAGUAACGCGUAGGUAACCUGCCUGGUAGCGGGGGAUAACUAUUGGAAACGAUAGCUAAUACCGCAUAAUAGUAGAUGUUGCAUGACAUUUGCUUAAAAGGUGCAAUUGCAUCACUACCAGAUGGACCUGCGUUGUAUUAGCUAGUUGGUGGGGUAACGGCUCACCAAGGCGACGAUACAUAGCCGACCUGGGAGGGUGAACGGCCAAACUGGGACUGGGACACGGCCCAGACUCCUACGGGAGGCAGCAGUAGGGAAUCUUCGGCAAUGGACGGAAGUCUGAACGAGCAACGCCGCGUGAGUGAAGAAGGUUUUCGGAUCGUAAAGCUCUGUUGUAAGAGAAGAACGAGUGUGAGAGUGGAAAGUUCACACUGUGACGGUAUCUUACCAGAAAGGGACGGCUAACUACGUG
rnacentral:rRNA from 1 species